rnacentral:rRNA from 1 species
UGGGGAAUAUUGCACAAUGGGCGCAAGCCUGAUGCAGCCAUGCCGCGUGUGUGAAGAAGGCCUUCGGGUUGUAAAGCACUUUCAGCGAGGAGGAAGGUGGUGAACUUAAUACGUUCAUCAAUUGACGUUACUCGCAGAAGAAGCACCGGCUAACUCCGUGCCAGCAGCCGCGGUAAUACGGAGGGUGCAAGCGUUAAUCGGAAUUACUGGGCGUAAAGCGCACGCAGGCGGUUUGUUAAGUCAGAUGUGAAAUCCCCGGGCUCAACCUGGGAACUGCAUUUGAAACUGGCAAGCUAGGAGUCUCGUGGAGAGGGGGUCAGAAUUCCAGGUGUAGCAGGUGAAUGCGUAGAGAUCUGGAGGAAUACCGGUGGCGAAGGCGGCCCCCUGGACGAAGACUGACGCUCAGGUGCGAAAGCGUGGGGAGCAAAACAGGAUUAGAUACCCUGGUAGUCCACGCUGUAAACGAUGUCGAUUUUGGAGGUUGUGCCCUUGAGGCGUGGCUUCCGGAGCUAACGCGUUAAAUCGACCGCCUGGGGAGUACGGCCGCAAGGUUAAAACUC